ensembl:lncRNA
GUGUGUGUAAAUGAUUCGAUACAGACUGGUAUCGAGGGAAAUUCUGCCUCAAAAUGGCGGAGAGCGCCAAACGCCGUUAGGAUGUGUAGCAGCGGCUUUUGCGCUAAUUUAUUGCUGUUCUCUCAUUCAUUCAACAAGCAUAAAUUGAGCACCUUUUUCAAGCCUCUGGCUGUGUGCUGGGCCAGGAGACACAGGGACGAUUGAGCCUCCUCCCGCGCCAUGCCCCAGGGCAGAGCUGGUGGACUGUCCUUUCCUGCCUUCUGGGAGACAGGAGACCUGAGUCGGGCAUCCUCUGAAGAGACACAUUGCAAAAUUCUGGCCAAGGAGACAUUGCUCAGGAGAACAAGUCUGCUGGAGAAGCUCCUGGGACUGCUUUCUUAGCUCAUAAAUAGAGCCACAAGGACCAUUUUUCACCCAUCAGAUUGGCAAGAAUCCAAAAGGGUGAGGACAUACCCUGUUGGUAUAGGGAAACAGGCCCUUCGUACGUUGCUGAUGGGAGAAUAAAUCGGUACGAACGCUAGGAAGGGCAAUUUGCAACAUCUGUCAAGGUCACAUAUACAUAUCCCUUUUGCCCUAGCAAUUCUAAUUCUGGGAAUUUAUCCUUAAAGAAAACUAACAGAUUUGCAGAAUUUAUUAUAAUAGCAAAUAUGGGAAACACUUAAAGGCCUAUCAAAAGAUGACUGGUUAAAUUAGGUUACAUGCAUAUAAUCCAAUAUGAUAUAGCUAUAAAGCAAUAUUAAGGAUGUACUUUAUGUGCCAAAAUAUUUUUCUAGGUGAAAAAAAAAGCAGUGUCAAAAAAUGUGUAGAGUAUGUUAUCAUUUGGGAAACACGAAGGUGGGGUAGGUAAAACUAUAUAUUCAUAUUUGCUGGUAAUAUGCCUUAUUACCUAAAGAGAUUCUAGAAAAAUAAACAAGUCCUAUUGUAAGAAGAUAGGAUAGGAAUAACAGGGAGACCCUUUACUGCAUAUCUUUUAAGUAUUUUAGAUUUGCAAGCCUGUGGAUGCAACACCUAUUCAAACAAUUUGCUGUGGUCUGAAUGUUUGUGUCCUCCCAAAAUUUAUAUGUUGACUCCUAACCCUUGAGGUGAUGGUGUUAGGGGGUGCAGCCUUUGGGAGGUGAUUAGGUCAUGAGGGCAGAGCCCUCAUGAAUGGGAUUAGUGCCCUUGAAAAUGAGACGCCCGAGAGAUCCUCGCCCCUUCAGCUAUGUGAGGACACAUCAAAAAGACAGCCAUCUAUGAAGCAGAAAGCUCUCACCAAACACAGAAUCUGCUGGCGCCAUUAUUCUGGACUUCCCAGCCUCUGAAACUUUGAGAAAUAAGUGUUUGCUGUUUAUAAGCCACCCAGUCUGUGGUACCUUGUUAUAGCAGCCCGGACAGACAAAGACACAACUAUACAUUUUUAAAGAGAGUAAAACAACAAAGGGAUGCUAUCUUUUCUGCCUGUGGACAUUUAUCUACAAGCACAGGAAGGCUGGGGGGAACCAGAGCAGCCAUUUUGUGACCAUGAAGAGCACUAGAGUGGAAUGGAAAAAUGGAAUGACAUUUUUGAGCUGUUGAAUUAACCAACCCUGGAACAGCUCUACCUCAGAACUUCUUGUUAGAGAAUAUAAACCCCUUUACCGUUUAAGCCAUUUGAUUUGGAUUUUGUGUUACUUACAUACAACAGCAUGCCGACAAGGAAACAGGGCCCUGAUAGAGGCCAUGCUUGUGAGGACACAUACAAAUAGAUGAGCUGUGCUUCUGCCCACGCCUCCAUCGUAAAGAAGAAAUAUAGGAGCUCAGGGUAAACACAGAGAACUAAACAUAUAUAUUUAUCUCUGCUCCCCCCGUCUAGUGACAGAAACCCACAAGGACAAAGAAAGAGAAGAUGAUAGAAGACAUGUUACAUCAACAACAGUUCAGAAGCUGGAGAGCAGAUGGGCAAGAGCCAACUGGCUUAGCAGAUCAGAGCAGGCUGAAACUUAAGCCUGCCUUGGGAUGAGCAAGCCCAUUCAGAAGCCUGAAAGGCCCAGGAAUGAGGAAGCAGCAAAGACCUCAGAGGCAUAGGUGGGGCUAAAAAGAAGAGGACUCGUGGAAAGUCCACACGAGAACUAAGAAUCUCAAUGCCACCUCCUAGCAAGAUGACCACCCUACUCUCACCGUGAAAAAAGAUGGGCGGCAACUCUCUGGAGAGUUUGGGUCAACGAGCUUCUGGACUCUAAGAGGGCAGACAUAGCUGAGCACAGGGGUGAGGGGGAAUAAGGGUAAGUCUAUAAGCUGAACGGUGAAGACUCAUGCCACCUUCUCCCACUGAUCUUCUGGAAAGUUCUCAGCCAGACCUAUACUGCUCCUUCAGGCAGAUAAUGGGAGGCUUCCUCUCUGGAGAAACUGACCACCCCAAGAGAAAAGAUCUAAAGAUACUGAUACCAGGGAAUCCCCUACAGAAAUAGCCAAGUCGCCCCACCUCAAUCACCCUAUCCUGAAGCCCGCUGAUCAUCAAGCCUCACCCAAGCACAGGGAGCUUCCCAGGAGGCAUUGGGUGCCUCACUCUUAGACGUGUGUAGACAGCACAGUGCACCAGACAUUGGAGAAAAGUCUCUAACUGAAAGGCAGAUCAGAGCAAAUAGGAAAUAAAAGAAUUCCAAAGGAAAUAGAGUGAUUGCAGGAAACAGUGAAAAAAUAUACAUAAUGUAUGUAGUUUAAUACCCUCAGAAAAAUUAGAAGAUGCUGCAUUUCAUGAAAUAAGAACAAAGGGGCUAUAAAAAUGAACAUUCAGAAAAUAAGAAAAAAACUCUUGGAAAUUAAAAAUACGAUAUUGGAAAUUUUUUUAAGAUUGGCACCUGAGCUAACAUCUGUUGCCAAUCUUUUUUCUUCUCCUUCUUCUUCUUCCCAAAGCCCCCCAGCACAUAGUUGUAUAUUCUAGUUGUGAGUGCCUCGUGUUGUGCCAUGUGGGACGCUGCCUCAGCAUGGCCUGAUGAGCGGUGCCAUGUCUGAACCCAGGAUCCAAACGGGUGAAACCCUGGGCUGCUGAAGUGGAGCACGUGAACUUAAUCACCCGGCCCCAGAAAUUUUUUAAACCAAGAGAAUAUUUGAAAAAUAAAGUAGAAGAAAUUUUCAUUAAAAAUAGAAAAAAAGUAGAAAAUAAGAAAACUCAGGGGUUAAUCUAAGAGGGCCAUCAUUCAACUAACAGCAGUUACAGAAAAAGAAAAUAAAGAAAACAGAGAGGAUGCAGUUAUCAAAAAAUACUCAAAAAAUAAUACAAGAUACUACUCCAGAAUUGAAGGGAAUGUAUCCCAAGAUUUAACAGAUCCUCCAAGAUCUGGCACCAUGAAUUAAACUUUAAAAAAAUAAUUUAGGGGCUGGCCCCGUGGCCAAGUGGUUAAGUUCGCGCACUCCCCUGCAGGCGGCCCAGUAUUUCGCUGGUUCGAAUCCUGGGCGCGGACAUGGCACUGCUCAUCGAGCCACGCUGAGGCAGCGUCCCACAUGCCACAACUAGAGGACCCACAGCGAAGAAUAUACAACUAUGUACCUGGGGGCUUUGGGGAGAAAAAGGAAAAAUAAUAAUAAUAAUAAUAAUUUAAAAUUUCUUUUAAAUGUUUUAAACCAUUCCAAGGAACAUCAUCACGAAAUGUAGAAGAAAGAAAUGGAGAGAAAUCCUAAAAACUUCCAAAGUAAAUAAGCAGGUCAUAUACAAACCUCGGAAUCUGAAAGGUAUCUGAUGUCUCAACAACAAUGGAAGCUAGAAGACAAUAGAACAAUGCCUUCAAAAUUCGGAGGGAAAAUGAUCGCCAGUCUAGAGUCAGCCACACUAUCAAUCAAAUUUGAGGCUAGAAUAAAGACAUUUUCAGAUACAAGUUCUCCAAAAACUUACCUCCCAGUCAUCCUUUCUCAGGAAGUUACUGGAGGAAGUAUUCCCCUAAAAGUUAGGAAGAAUCUAAGAAAGAGGAUGAAGUGGGGUCCCAGGUGCAAAGGAUGCCCUGGAAGACAGUGAUGGAAGGCUCUCAGAAGGAAAAGGAAAAAAAGAAGAAGUGAAACCAGGGUGGGACAAAAUAUAACAACGUGCCCAUCAAGUCAAGAGCCAGCACACACAGGACCAACCCAAGAAAGAGCUGACCCAGCCUGGCCACCACCACCAGAUGCCGGAGAGGCCCAAGGCGAGGGGCACGGCAGGCUGGAGUUGGGUGCAGAGCCUGGCCCUUCCCUCGCUGAGCCUCAGUUUCCUCACCUGUACAAGGGGUGCGGAAGCGGAGGGGAGUGAGUUACCCCAACUAAGAAUAGCUGCUGCCCCCUGUGCCAGCCCCAACUCCUCACAGGCUGUUUCCAGCUCCACACCCUCCGGGUCCCUCUGAGAGCCCUGUCACCUGAGCUGAGGGGGCCCAGACCGCCAAGUCCGGAGCCUGCUGCAAGCCCGGGUCCUGCCAUCCCAGGCCAUCCCUGAGCCUACCUACCACUCUAGGACCACUGUCCCCUCCUACUGCCAUCUGGAGGCCCUGAGGUCUCACACCUCCAGGCCCAGACACUGCUUCCCUCUCUCCUGCCAGAGCUGGGCUGUCCUUCCCAAAUAGGGGUUGGGGGGGGUGGGGGGGCAAUGCGUCUGUUUCAACCGUCCCCACAUUCGGAACAAUGCUCCUCUGUCAGCCCAGACGGGCCCUCAAAGCGAACUCCCCCUCUGCCCACAUGGCCCUCGGGCUGCAUCUCUGGUCUGGGCCAAUGGGCAGCUGCCACCCUCGGACUGAAUAUUCCCACUGCUGCCCCCUCCCUCCUCGCCAAGAACAGCCCCCUGUCCCGCUGCAGCCAGAGCUGCAUUUCAGAGCCCACAGUUGCCCACUCACAAACUCCCUCUCUUUAAAACACUCCACACAAAGCCGCUUUUAUCUGGUUCAAAAACAGGCUUUAAAAGCUUUAAAAGUCUUUGCAGUGGUUUCCCAUGUUCUGGUCUCUUUCAGAUGAUAAUGGUUUUAAUUAUAACAAUCAUUAUAGCAUAAUACCUUCAAUUUAGGCAAUCAGCUCCAUUCAGAAUAUUCAAACGGUGGGGGGAAGGGUGACUGUGGCACCGAGGCUUUCUCUGUGCUCGGUUUCAGAGAGAAGCUCCCUGGGCCCAGCAGGUGCUGGCUGCCGCGGGGGACGAGAGGCCCGCUCCUCGGAGAGCUGUGGGAGAAGCUCUUGAGCGGAAGUGCCUGGGCCUCCCGGGAGCAGCCUAGACGGAACCCACAGGGCUUCCAGCACAGGAAACCCCAGGGCUCCCCAGCAGGAACUCUGCAGCCCUCAGAGACCUGCCCUGGCUCCCUAUCCCCGAAAGCAUGGUCCAGUUCUUUAGUCCUCUCCUAUCCGACUCCAGGUUUAUCUUGCACAAAAUCCUUGCACGCACCACCCGCACCUGGCCCAGCGCAUGUACUCUUCAUGCACAGGAGACACAGCUGCCCCCACCUAUCAGGCACCAACCCAGUGCCAGGCACCAUGCUGGCAAUGUCUAAAAGUCCUACAUCCUGGCUUACCCAUCAGUCCCAGGCAAACUGGGAUGGUUGGUCACCUGGCGUGCUAGGCUCUGGACAUAUAGCCAUGACCCAGACUUCCUCCCCGACCUGAGCAAGCCCUGGGUCUAGAGGGGAGACAGAGCUUACAAAUAUUGACAACGUGGAACAUACUAGUGUCCUAGCACUGCUGUAACAAAUUGCCUCAAACUGGGUAACUUGAAACAACAGAAAUUUAUUCUCUCAGAGUUGAGGAGGCCAGAAGGCCAAACUCCAGGUGUUGGCAGGCUUGGCUCCUUCUAGAGGUUCUGGGGGAGGGUCUGUUCCUGCUGGGUUGCCAGCACCCCUGGGCAUCCCUUGACCUUCAGACAUGUCACUCCAAUGUCUGCCUCCAUCGUCAUAUGGCCUUCUCUGUGAGUCUCUGGGUCUUCUCUCCAUGUAAGACACUAGUCUUUGGAUCUAGGGCCCGCCCUAACUCCAAGCUGAUUUCCUCUCAAGAUCCUUAACUAAUUCCAUCUGCAAAGAUCCUAUUUCCAAAGAAGGUCACAUUCUAAGGUUAUGGGUGGACAUGAAUUUGGGAGGGACACUAUUCAACCCACCACAGGUGUGAACUGAAUAAAUGCCAACUGGGGGUCCAGAAAAAUCCCCUAGGAGCCCCAAGACUGGAGGGAGAAGGAAGUUUCAUUCAGUCGUUCCGCAAAUAAUCACCGAGCACCUCCUCCAUGCCAGGCCCUCUUCUCUAGGCUAGGAAGACGUCAGGGAACAAAACCAGGAAUCCCCAUGUUGUGGAGCUCACGGGAGCAGAGGAGGAAGCGCUGGGAGAAGUCUGGAAGGGUAGCUGGUAUAGAAGAGUGGGAGGUGGUUCUAGGUCAAGAACAACACUUGGUGGGUUGAAAAAUGUUCAAGUCUGUGUCCUUGGACAUGGGAGCAGAUGAGAGGGCGGUGUUGGUGAGCAUCCCUUAGCCCAGCAAUGGCUUCAGCCCAGACCCUGAGAACAGUGGUAGAGCUAAGGGGUGGCUGAGGGUGUCUUUGGGACCCCUGAGCUCCAUCACUGCCUCCACUUUGACAGGGCAGUUGACCGUGUUUCCCUGCUCAUGUGAAGUGCCACACAAACACAGCUAGGCCUCCAGGCCACUCUUCUGCAGACCCCUGCCCUGAGCCUCUCCAUCUGUAGAAACUCCAGAGCUACAGGUGGGGAACGCUGCCUCAGAGCUUGGUGGGCAGAUUGAGAAGUCUGGACUUGGUCCCCAGGGCUGUCCUCUGAACCUCAGCUCAUGGAACCUCGUAAGGAUCUAACACUAGUGGAAUCUUUCCCCAGGACCAGGCCCCUGCUGGGGCUUUCAGGGCUUUAAGGAUCACUGUCCUGAGAGUCUUAGAGUCCAGCUCAAGGCCUGCCUCCUCCAGGAAGCACUCCCAGACUUCUUCCUUCUUACAGCUGGUGAUUUCACUUGCUCUCACCUCUUCAACCAGACCACUGAUGUACUUCUGUUUUCUAUGAAAAGUGCGUUGUACAUUCCCAGCUCUCCAUCCGCUCCAGUCAGUGCCUCAGACCCUGGCCUCGAUAAAAUAAUGCACUAACUGAAAUCUCCCCACCAAGGAGCCCACCCUAGGACAGAACCAGAUGCUUCCUCAGUCCCCAUCUCCUCCUGCUUUAAGUGCUUGGCAGCCACCAAGAAAUGCAGUGUAGCUUUUCCUUUUUAACAAAGGGACCCUUCCUUCUUUGCUACAAAUAGAGUCAUCUGCCUCUAGGGCGCCGGGGUCCUGGGACUCAUAAACCACAGGUCAAUGCUAACCAAUGUGUUUCUUUCCUCAGGGCUGUAAUCUUUCAAAUGAGCCAUGGCCGGGCUGCGGGUCCCUCGAAGAUAAAUGUGCAUGCCGAUGCCUAUGCCUUCACCAACUUCCUGUCUCAGAAGACAUCUCAUGCACAUGCACACACACAUGCACACACACACACACACACACAUGCACACACACCUCCCGCGGCUGGCUGGCCUCUCAUCUCACUUGCACACUGGGGGCUGCACUACCUUGAGUGUAAUGUGUCCUGGCUCUCCCCUCCCUCUUCGAAGUCUGAAAAUGGCCUCUCUCCAAGCUGACAGAUGCCCAUUCUAUGCCCAGCCUGCCCUGGACUUAGACGCUCUACCUAUAUACCAGAUGCCAACUCACCAAACUGACCUGCCAUACACGGGAGGAGGGGCCUCACCCUGUCUCUGAGGAAUUAUUUAUGGAAAGAAAGUUUGGUUCUCGUCACUCCCUGCUGAAAACCUUGGCAUGGCUUCCUGUGACUUUUAGGAUAAAAACUCACAGCUCACCAGCCCCAGAGGUCCAUGUAACUGAGCUGCACCCCACGGGCCAGCUCUGAUAGCUCCCUAAAGGUGUCAAGCUCUCUCCUUUUCCAGGGCUUUCCCAUCUGGCCAGCUGACUCCUCAGGUCUACUUUAAACACAGCUUCCUCUGAGAAGUCUUUCCUACCUCCUGUGUAAUCCAAAUUUACUCUUUCUUUUUAUGCACUUUACUUUUUUCUUUAUGCAAUAAAGCAUAGUGGUUAGCAGUCGAGAAUUUGGAGUCAGACUUCCCGGUUCAAAUCCCAGCCCUUCUCGCAGUUGGUGACUGCACAUCGACUUGGUGGUUAUUUGCUGACUGCUGAGAUGCCAGCUCCAUGAGUGAAAGGAGCCUGGAUGCCUGGCAUAGUACCUGGCACCAUAGGCACUCGAUAAUUAACACUCGUUGAUGAGAAAAGAAUCAUCACUGGUUCUGCGUUCAGGUGAGAGGGUGCUGCAAGGAGGGAGGUGGUCAGGAUCGCUGGGUAGUGACAAGCCGAGGCCCCACUGGGACACAGGUAGACAGGGCAGCCCAGGAGUCCACCUGUGGGCAGCCGGUGAAGAGCCAGAAAUGGAAGUCAGGCAGCCCAGCUGCCUCGAGGGCCAGCUCUGACUCUGACCCCUGUGUGGCCUUGGGCAGGCUUCUUAAGCUUUCUGAGCCUGUUACUUCAUCUGUAAAGCUCCAGUGGGAAACCUCGAGGAACCAGGUAAGGCAGUCUCCCCAGUGGAAGGAGCAACGUGAGCCCGUUCCCCUUUUACUGCUGGCCCGCUGCAGGCUCCUGCCUGUCCCCAGCAUCUGCAUUGCCAUCUGUAGAGUAUGUAAAUCCACACAAUUAAUAUUCUCCAUAAUCUUACAGCAACAAUUUUUCUUCACAAAUGUGUUCGGUUUCAGGGAAUGCGGCACGUUCUGGAGGCACAUUUACAUUUCAUUAUCUCUAAAAGCUUAACUACCGUGGCUAAUGCUAGAUUAAUAAGUAGCCCAUCGAACAACUCCUUUAAACAACACCACUUGCACAGUCUCGCUGGUCGUAGAAGAGGAUGCUUUCAUAUAGUGGCUGUGGCUGGGAAGGGGUCAGUCGAGUUAAGUAGGUCUAAUUUCUGUAUCUCCCACGAGACACUCUGUAUAUUGUUCUAGCCGAGCAAUUAAAUCUCAGCCAAAGCUGUCAAUUUCCUGGGCCUUUGUAAACCCGGGACUGGAAAAAGGUUCAAGUUAAGUCCAUGUGGGCCACCUGGGGGCUUCCCAAUCCCCACACCCAACAGGGCCCUGCCAGGGCUCUGAGCACAGCGUCUCAUAGACAGGACUGGGCAAUACUCACUUGCUCCUGGAGGCCUCAGGUACAACCUUGAAGAUAAAGAAAACAACCAGCCGCAUUUAGAGACGUCAAAGCCAGACUCUGGUUGGGCCCUGGGUCCACCUCCCAGAAGACAGCGCAUGAGGCCAAUGAGGCAACCACAGGUACCAGGCUCUCUCUAGGCCAUACCAGUAAUCUAAGCUCCCUGGACGUGCAUGCUUUCUAAAUCCCAAGAGUUGCUCUUUUGGGAGGUAUUUAUUAUUAUCGUAUUUUGCAACACAGAUGAAAGUACAAUUUCCCAGUGAACUAUCAAUGCAGGUGGAGGGUACGUUCCAGAAAUCACCUCCUCUAAACUUUCACCCCACCUGACUCCUUCCUCAGGGCUCCUGACAUUUCAGCUCAUGCAGUUGAUGGGGGUUUGGCUAUUGCAACGUCUCUUCAAUGCAAUGUUCGAUGUUCAUUGAAGGCCCACAAGGGUCUGCUCUCAGAACUUGGUCAUGGAGUGACACACAGGCCUUCUCCCAAGGGCCUGGGCUGCCCCCUGACUCUGCCCUCUGAUUGCCUCUACCCACUCUCUGCACCACCUCCUAGAGAUCCUUGCUCCCCCUGCACAAGCGCUCGGGCCCUGCCCAUGGUCUUCAGCACAGCAGACCCAGGCCCAGCUUUUGAGGAGUGGGCCAGGCCUCGGCUCCAGACCCGGGAGCCAGGGAGGAGCCCUGCUUGAGGAAGGCCCAUCCAUUGCUCCCUCUCCAAGAAACCAGGGUCCAGGGCCCCCGAAGUUCUGCCCCUCUGGCUGUUGUCCACUUCUGACCAUGUAGAUGCCCAGAAGCUAAGCCACCCACUGUCCACCAAUUCUCCUCCAAAGAGGGUCGGGCUCUCCCUGAGCUCUGGAGAACAGCACUGCUGCCCACCCAGGGCACAGGAUGACAAUUGCCCAGUGGCACCUAGAUUCAGUAGGCUCUGGGGGCAUUUUCCAGCUCCCUGGCAAGUAGGGAAAGAAAGGCACACCAGAGCACCUGUGGGAUCUUGCCCAAGCUCCACGGGUGGCGACUCCACCUCUGCAUCAGGAAUUGUCCUGUGUCCCCUGUGGAUAGCCCAGAAAUCCACCUCACAUCCUCUGGAAAGCUGACUCACCUAAUCACUAACAUCCUUCUUCCAGGUGUCCCACCGACAGCCUCCCUUUCCUAGGAAGGGCUGAGAGUCCCAUCACUUCGCAGGGAGUGAGAAUUCUGUCCCGCGAGGUGACUAACCAGCAGAGCUGCUGCUGAAGGUCACAUGGACAGGGAGGGAUGCGGCCAGAGAACACGGGAGGUCAUCCCUCUCCCCACCAUGGUGACCCUGGAAGAGCUCACAAGGGCAGGAGCCAGUCCUGCUGGCUAGACUCCCCCCGCAGCUCCGCAGCCAGAAACAGGGAGGUUAAUAAAACACAGGACGAGGCUCUCCCGAGAGGCUCUUGGCCGCCUCUGAAGUUUACAAAAGCAGCGCUUCUGAAGCCUCAAAGGCUGCCUGCCACGGCUCCCUGUGAAUUAUUACACUGCAGGUUUUCAGGACACUGUCUGCAAUGCCUUGGGAAUUAGAGUAAUUGUAUUUUAUCUGUUUGCCAAGAGUUUUCAGUAAACUCCUUUAAUGUACUUUAAAACUCACAGCCCCAAAUAGCAACACACGCCUUCUAGCUUCUGCACCAGGCACUGAAUAAACACAGGGUGAUAUAUGGGGCUGGGAGGGCGCCCCUCAUAUAUUUACACCCUCUACCAAAAC